rnacentral:tRNA from 1 species
GAGAUUUCCAAAUUAAGCUGCUAACUUAAAUUAUAGUGUAUAAUCAUUAAUGUCUCU